AGCCUUCACAGGUGCUGCAUGGCUGCGUCAGCUCGUGCCGUGAGGUGUUGGGUUAAGUCCCCCAACGAGCGUAACCCUCGUUGCCAGUUAUAUUCUCUGGCGAGACUGCCCCGCAAAACGGGGAGGAAGGUGGGGAUGACGUCAAGUCAGCAUGGCCCUUAUGCCUUGGGCUACACACACGCUACAAUGGGUGGUACAAUGGGUUGCAAUGGAGCGAUUCGGAGCUAAUCCCCAAAACCAUCCUCAGUUCAGAUUGCAGGCUGAAACCCGCCUGCAUGAAGUCGGAGUUGCUAGUAACCGCAUAUCAGCAUGUUGCGGUGAAUACGUUCUCGGGCCUU
rnacentral:rRNA from 1 species